GCGGGAAGCAAGCUGAUCCUCUUCGGAGGUGACGCUUGUGGAACGAGCGGCGGACGGGUGAGUAACACGUGGGCAACCUGCCUGUAAGACUGGGAUAACCCCGGGAAACCGGGGCUAAUACCGGAUAAUACUUUUCAUCACCUGAUGGGAAGUUGAAAGGUGGCUUUUAGCUACCACUUACAGAUGGGCCCGCGGCGCAUUAGCUAGUUGGUGAGGUAACGGCUCACCAAGGCAACGAUGCGUAGCCGACCUGAGAGGGUGAUCGGCCACACUGGGACUGAGACACGGCCCAGACUCCUACGGGAGGCAGCAGUAGGGAAUCUUCCGCAAUGGACGAAAGUCUGACGGAGCAACGCCGCGUGAGUGAUGAAGGUUUUCGGAUCGUAAAGCUCUGUUGUUAGGGAAGAACAAGUGCCGUUCGAAUAGGGCGGCACCUUGACGGUACCUAACCAGAAAGCCCCGGCUAACUACGUGCCAGCAGCCGCGGUAAUACGUAGGGGGCAAGCGUUGUCCGGAAUUAUUGGGCGUAAAGCGCGCGCAGGCGGUCCUUUAAGUCUGAUGUGAAAGCCCACGGCUCAACCGUGGAGGGUCAUUGGAAACUGGAGGACUUGAGUACAGAAGAGGAGAGUGGAAUUCCACGUGUAGCGGUGAAAUGCGUAGAGAUGUGGAGGAACACCAGUGGCGAAGGCGACUCUCUGGUCUGUAACUGACGCUGAGGCGCGAAAGCGUGGGGAGCGAACAGGAUUAGAUACCCUGGUAGUCCACGCCGU
rnacentral:rRNA from 1 species